CAGUGGAGGUGAGCACAUCUUGCUGGAGAUUCCUGCCUACCUGAGGCCUUCUAAAGAUACAAAAGGUGAAGCUCCGUCUUCCUAGUCUUCUCCCCUUCUACUGUAGAGGAGAACCACUGUUUGAAAGAAGUAAGAUUGCAGUAGUGAAAGUUUGGUGUAUUUUCCACAUUUCUGGAGCUGACUUCUGCGGGUGGACGAAGGACGUGCCAACAGCAAGAGUGUCUAUAGCUCAGUGUUUUGAAAUGGUAAGGCAUGCUGAUCAAGGAUAUCUCUACCAAUUUUAACUAACCAGUGUGGCCUGCUCAGGCCAAUAUUAUGGACAGCAACAAACAAGAGGACACUUUGUCUCAUCAGUCUCAUGGAUAUAACUUUCUGCUUACAGCUGUAUUUGGCUAAGGCCUGUAGGUGGUUAUGGACUUUGACUCAGUGGCUGGGCUUGGAUGGGAGCCUUCUGGCUUACAAUCCUGUGCUCCAACCAUCUAAUCUCUCAGCCCAAAGGAAAUUGCGGUGUCCCUGUGGACCCUUGGGCAUGGAGGUUAGCCCAUGGCUGAACCCUUCAGACAGAAAUGGUACAAAACCAAACCCGAGUUUCUCCUCCUCAGAUCUAACUCAUCAAGAAUAGAUGCCCUAGGGGAACAGAAGAUUGAGCAUGCUGCCCUUUGGCCAUUGGCACUAAUUGUCCAACUCAAUAGGGAGGACAAAAGAUGAAGUGGGGAGUCCAUGCCCAUCUCAGCCUAGGGGCAGGUCUACAGCACGAUUAACCUCCCAGAUAUCACUUGACCAGAUAAUGCUUGGACCUGGGACAGAAUGCAAUACCAAUCCACCAUGCCAGCCAUCCCAACAGAGGCAUCUUGGUGUCAGCAUUGCUGUGACCCAGAAAUGAGGAGAGGGUGAUGGGGAAUUCACCAACCUGGGGAAUUCAACGCUGCAGGUAGUGAAACACCUUCUAAACCAGAAGAGGUUCCUCUGUGUUCCAAUAUUAUUGAUGGUAAAGGUAGUGCCCCUGGUGGGAUAUGCUGUCUUCGCUGGGGUAUGUGUUAAUAUCCACUAUGCUUAGUGAGGAAUUUCCCCUCUCCUGCAGAGUUUGGCAGCAGCUAUUGGAUUCCUUCUCCCUCAGUCUUAGGUCCCACAGUCCCAGUUCAGAGGAGCUGGGCUGUUCUCUAAUACACUCCCAGUCUACAGCAGCUCUGAAAGUCUCUUUCAGCUCACACGUGCGACCACUGGUAGGGCAUGGGUGCAUGCAUCCUUAUGCAGUGACACAUCAGCAGGAGAUGACCUCACUCCGAGGAGGCAAGCACCAGUUCAGAUGAGUUACCAGAGCCAAAACCCUGCAAAACUGAAUUUUCUCUUAGAACAAUCCCUACAGCAUUCACAUUGUUGCAUACAACCACCUCAAACUUCUCCCAAGCCCCUGAAAGUAAUGCAACCCCUUUGUAGAAUAACAAACAAAUGCAAUGUGUCAAACAACAUGGGGGAUCUGGUGUGUAAUUUCUGUCUCGUGUCCUUUUCACAGCAGGAAAUGUUGGGUGAAAUGUUCUGGUCCUCCAAAGAAGUGGACCAUGCAGCAUGGGAUGGCAGCCCCUCCAGCCCCUUCGUGAUCCCUGAGGCUUUGGUGCUGGGCUCAGCACAAGGAAGGAUGCCAGAGAAAAAGUAUGAGAUUACCUCUCAGCAAAACCCUUUGGCCUGAAUCACUGACAUCUUUGAUUUAAACAGUAAUUUAAAACACGCAUGAUGAGAAGUCAGGGAAGGGAUCCAGGAAGGCCUGGGGUCCAGCCAACCUGGUGCAUUUGCCAAUUUGCUGCUCUAAAGGUAAGCUUGGUAACUGACAAAUGGAGGCCAUGCCCUGGGAAUUCUUCACAAAAGAUUACAUUUUCUACAGCCAUUUACAAUUACACCUGUACUGUGCCAUUUCACUCUCCAUGGGCUAGGUGCAUAUAGCAGCGUAUUUUCCUUCAGCACAGUUGCACGAGGAAUCUGAAGACAGACAAAAGCAUGGACGAUAGAGGUUCCCAAAGGACGUGUGAACUGAGACUACGUUAAUUCAUAUGAACUGAGACUAUGUUAAACCUUCAGGGGAUUUGCCACCCCUGAACUUGAGACUCAAACCUCUACUUUUCUGUUGAUCCAUACUACAAUAAAAAGAAGUCCAACUGGCUA